rnacentral:rRNA from 1 species
GACGAACGCUGGCGGCGUGCUUAACACAUGCAAGUCGAACGAAGAGCGAUGGAACCUUGCUUCUAUCAAUCUUAGUGGCGCACGGGUGAGUAACGCGUAAUCAACCUGCCCUUCAGAGGGGGACCACAGUUGGAAACGACUGCUAAUACCGCAUACGAUCCAAUCUCGGCAUCGGGACUGGAUGAACGGUGGCCUCUAUUUAUAAGCUAUCACUGAAGGAGGGGAUUGCGUCUGAUUAGCUAGUUGGUGGGGUAACGGCCCACCAAGGCGAUGAUCAGUAGCCGGUCUGAGAGGAGGGACGGCCACAAUGGGAAUGGGAAACGGCCCAGACCCCUAAGGGAGGCAGCAGUGGGGAAUCUUCCGCAAAGGACGGAAGGCUGACGGAGGAAAGCCGGGUGAGGGAUGAAGGGCUUCGGGUUGGAAAGAUCCGUUAAUCGGGAAGAAUGGUACGUGUGCGAAUAGUGCGAGGAUUUGACGGUACCGGAAUAGAAAGCCACGGCUAACUACGUG